CCUACGGGAGGCAGCAGUGGGGGAUAUUGCACAAUGGGGGAAACCCUGAUGCAGCGACGCCGCGUGUGGGAAGACGGUCCUCUGGAUUGUAAACCACUGUCCCCAGGGACGAAGAUGACGGUAUCUGGGGAGGAAGCUCCGGCUAACUACGGGCCAGCAGCCGCGGUAAUACGUAGGGAGCGAGCGUUGUCCGGAAUUACUGGGUGUAAAGGGAGCGUAGGCGGGACUGCAAGUUGGGUGUCAAAUCUACCGGCUCAACCGGUAGCCGCACUCAAAACUGCAGUUCUUGAGUGAAGGAGAGGCAGGCGGAAUGCGUGGUGUAGCGGUGAAAUGCGUAGAUAUUAGGAGGAACACCGGUGGCGAAGGCGGCCUGCUGGGCUUUUACUGACGCUGAGGCUCGAAAGUGUGGGGAGCGAACAGGAUUAGAUACCCGGGUAGUC
rnacentral:rRNA from 1 species